rnacentral:rRNA from 1 species
GAUGAACGCUGGCGGCGUGCCUAAUACAUGCAAGUCGAGCGAACAGACGAGGAGCUUGCUCCUCUGACGUUAGCGGCGGACGGGUGAGUAACACGUGGAUAACCUACCUAUAAGACUGGGAUAACUUCGGGAAACCGGAGCUAAUACCGGAUAAUAUAUUGAACCGCAUGGUUCAAUAGUGAAAGACGGUUUUGCUGUCACUUAUAGAUGGAUCCGCGCCGCAUUAGCUAGUUGGUAAGGUAACGGCUUACCAAGGCAACGAUGCGUAGCCGACCUGAGAGGGUGAGUGGCCACACUGGAACUGAGACACGGUCCAGACUCCUACGGGAGGCAGCAGGAGGGAAUCUUCCGCAAUGGGCGAAAGCCUGACGGAGCAACGCCGCGGGAGUGAUGAAGGUCUUCGGAUCGUAAAACUCUGUUAUUAGGGAAGAACAAAUGUGUAAGUAACUAUGCACGUCUUGACGGUACCUAAUCAGAAAGCCACGGCUAACUACGUG